CACCUACAGUAGUUGGAUAUCGUUCUCGCGGAGUCGCCGGAAACCGCUGCUGGUGUAGCAUUCGCACGUGCCGCCAGACAUCGUUGCAGAAGUAGACGCACCUCGAAGAGCUCACCGGCGAAUAGAACGCAAUCACUUGGAUUAGAUUUGGUGGGUAAUGGCGGAACCGUCUAAGCACCGCUGAUUCGUGAGUCUUUGCAGUCUGGUCACCGCCGGGGAAAUAACUAAG
rnacentral:misc_RNA from 1 species